rnacentral:misc_RNA from 1 species
UGGCACCUACUUAUUUUAUGAAGAUGGAGAUGUACAUAAGCCGCGGUUAAUGGAGCGCGCAUGGGAUAAAAACAAAUUUCACUUUGAUGAUGUUGCCAAAGCGAUGCUCACCUUGUUCACUGUUUCAACUUUUGAAGGAUGGCCAGCGCUUUUAUAUGUAUCUAUUGAUUCUAAUGAAGUAGACGGUGGACCGAUACAUAAUUUCCGUCCCAUUGUUGCUGCUUAUUACAUAAUUUACAUAAUUGUAAUAGCUUUUUUUAUGGUAAACAUCUUUGUCGGUUUCGUUAUCGUAACUUUUCAAAACGAAGGUGAACAAGAAUAUAAAAACUGUGAUUUAGAUAAAAAUCAAAGAAAUUGCAUUGAAUUUGCACUUAAAGCAAAACCAGUAAGGCGUUAUAUACCAAAACAUGGCAUACAAUAUAAAGUAUGGUGGUUUGUUACGUCAUCAUCAUUUGAAUACACCAUAUUUAUUUUAAUUAUGAUUAAUACUGUGACUCUUGCAAUGAAAUACCAUAAUCAACCACCGUGGUAUACUGAGCUCUUAGAUGCUCUAAAUAUGAUUUUUACUGCCGUGUUUGCGCUAGAAUUCGUGUUUAAGUUGGCGGCUUUCCGUUUCAAAAAUUACUUUGGAGAUGCUUGGAAUGUUUUUGAUUUCAUAAUAGUAUUGGGUAGUUUUAUUGACAUUGUUUAUUCCGAAAUAAAGAAUAAGGAUACUUCAUCUCUGCCUUGUGACAUCGUGGAGGGAUGCAAAGCUAAGGCCAAGACGGGAUCAAAUUUGAUAUCGAUAAACUUUUUCCGUUUAUUCCGCGUUAUGCGCUUGGUUAAACUAUUGAGCAAAGGUGAAGGAAUUCGGACACUACUGUGGACAUUUAUCAAAUCUUUCCAAGCUCUUCCUUAUGUAGCUUUGCUGAUAAUUAUGCUGUUUUUUAUUUAUGCGGUUAUUGGAAUGCAGGUUUUCGGAAAAAUCAAUCUGAGUGACGAGACCGCCAUACACCGGAAUAAUAACUUCCAAACAUUUCCACAGGCGGUACUAGUCCUUUUUCGUUCUGCAACGGGGGAAGGCUGGCAAGAAAUAAUGAUGUCUUGUUCGACAGACGAAGAUGUACGUUGCGAUCCGAAAUCCGAUAUGACCAAAGAUUGUGGGUCCAAUAUUGCAUUUCCUUACUUUAUAUCCUUCUACGUUCUUUGCUCGUUCCUUAUUAUCAAUUUGUUUGUUGCUGUUAUUAUGGAUAACUUUGAUUAUCUGACUCGCGAUUGGUCGAUUCUUGGACCUCAUCAUCUGGAUGAAUUUAUCCGCCUUUGGAGUGAAUACGAUCCAGAUGCUAAAGGGCGCAUAAAACAUUUAGACGUGGUUACGCUCCUACGGAAAAUAUCACCUCCGUUAGGAUUUGGUAAACUUUGUCCACAUAGAAUGGCAUGUAAAAGACUUGUUUCCAUGAAUAUGCCGCUAAACUCUGAUGGUACUGUUCUUUUCAAUGCAACCCUGUUUGCAGUUGUAAGAACAUCACUAAGCAUUAAAACUGAUGGAAAUAUUGACGAGGCUAAUGCGGAAUUGAGAGCAACAAUAAAACAAAUUUGGAAACGUACCAGCCCUAAACUCUUGGAUCAGGUGGUACCACCCCCAGGAAAUGAUGAUGAGGUUACCGUUGGAAAAUUCUAUGCCACAUAUUUAAUUCAGGAUUACUUCAGACGAUUUAAAAAACGAAAGGAACAAGAAGGUAAAGAAGGACAGUCUGAAAAUGCGACUCUAACACUACAAGCGGGAUUGCGAACAUUACAUGAAGUAUCACCAGCAUUGAAACGGGCGAUUUCUGGAAACUUAGAUGAGUUAUCUGAGGAACCUGAGCCGAUGCAUAGGAGGCAUCAUACGCUGUUUGGUACAGUGUGGUCAUCGUUUCGACGACAUGGUAACAGCUUUAGACAAGAUCGGAAAACUCAAAAAUCGCAGUUAAAUGGAGAUAUUGGUGGUACCGAAUCAACGCCUACUGCUGCUGACUCGUUCAAUUUGAAUCCGAUGUACGACACCAACCGCUGCAAUGUAUCUGAUAGCACAAAUCAUAUUACAAAAAGUCUGAUGCAAGCGAGAUUUGGUUCCCAACAAACUGAAGGCAGUGGCAGUAAUUCCACUGAAUACCAUGACUUUAAUGCUCCUGGUGACUUUCGUACAUUUAGUGAGAGCAUAUCCUUGCGGCCACUUGUCAUGAAUAGCGGGAACGAUGGCAAUAACUUGUUAACUCUUCCUUCAGGGUACAUGACAAAUCAAGAAAGUCUAUUUGCUACAACAGAAUCUUAUGACAAAUGGUAUUCGUGGCCACGAUCGUGCGAUACUAACAAAAAUAGGUAACCCUUGUGAUCCCCAUCCUUCAGCAACUUUAUCUAAAGUCAACGGUCCUGCAGAAAGUCUCGUUGGCGGGGUACUAGUUGCAGAAGGUCUAGGAAAAUAUUGCGAUUCAGAAUUUGUUGGUCAAGCAACUCGUGAAAUGCAAGAGGCUUUAGACAUGACGGUGGAGGAGAUGAAUUUAGCUGCUAAGAAAUUACUAGCAAACGAAUAAAGUACUGAGCGGAAAUUAUUCGAUUAAUUGUUAAGUUUCACAAAAUUUAGCUAAGUACGAAUUACUUAAAUAUCCCCUAAACGAAAUUUAUAGGAAAAUAAAACAACCAACUAUGUAAAUUCGCGAAAAUCGUACAGUUCACCAUCAGAACGAAAACCUAUAAAAAUAAUACGUUUAUAUUAAAUGACAAUGUUUCCCACAGUAAAGCCAAAUAUAUACAUUAAUAUCUAUAUUUAUUUAUAUGUAUA